GUUUCAUACAGGGAGUACCAAAUCAUUUGCAAAAUGCUUUAAAACACCCAGAGCCACACAGAGAGCCACACAGAAUACUGCUGGCUCUAUUUGUCUUGGGGUUCCACAGUCAUCUUAACACUUGAGGGUUUAGAGAAAUGUCCUCUUUCUCUUUCCUUUUAAAGUCUUUUUCUUCUUCCAUCUUCAUCUGGGACACCUAGCACUAUUCCUACAAUGGUCUCAGAUCAAGGAUGUCAGGAAUGAAGGGGAAAUAAAGACCCUCUCAGAUGAAGAAACACUAAGAGAAUUUGUCACCAGUAGACCAUUCCUAAAGGAAGUCCCUGAAACAGAAAGGAAGUGAUUAAAGAAAGAAUCUUGGAACAUCAAAAAGAAAUAACAGGAAGAACAGAAAUAUGGUUUACAGGGAGAAGACAGUUGUUGACAAUCCAGGAAGCAGGCCUUCAUCAGACAACAAAUCUUCUGGCACUUUGAUUUUGGACUUCCCAGUCUCUAGAACCAUGAGAAAUAAACAUCUGUUGUUUAUAAUCUACUCAGUUUAUGGUAGUUUGUUAUAUCAGCCUGAACGGACUAAGAUAUAAACUAUAACCACUGGAAGAAACUGGGUGAGGUGUUAUCAGGACCUCACUAUAUUAUCAUUGUAACUUUCUGGAAAUCUAUAAUUAUUUUAAAAACUGUUUAAUACUUUGCAAUGAUGAAAAAGUUCUGGAAAUAGAUAAUGGUGAUGAUUGCACAACAUUGUGAGUGUACUUAAUGUCAGAUUUGUAUACUUAAAAUGGUUAAAGUGGUAACUUUUAUGUAAUGUAUAUUUUUCUACAUUUUAAAAAAUGACUCUUCCUGAUAUUAUCAAAUUAAAUCUCUUAGAAAAUAUGAAAAUGAUCUUGGUCAAAGACAACAAAUGCUAUGAGACUGCUGAUCAUGGAAGAUUGAUUCACUUGCCCUGUACAUUUCAUUCUUUCAGCAUUUAACAUUUUAAAUGGAUUCAUUUUUUAGAUUAAAAAAAUCAAAAAGUAAACAUUCCCAUUCACCUCUCUUCUCCUCCUUAAAGAUGUUUGGUGCCAUCUGGUGAUAAGGUAAAAAGAUUGGGUUUCCAGAGGGAUUAGUAUAGGCUGCUUAAAGUAGUAAGUUAGCAGAGAGGUUUUUAACUUGCAGUGACAAAUGGCUUUGGGCUAUGAUCAAGUUCUACAAAUAGAUUAAGCCCUUUUUCUUCUUAGAAAUAAAACUGGCCUGUCAAGUCCUAAAAAUAGGUUGCUAAUCACCUGGCCUAUUUUCUCACUGAUUUUAUUUUUUAUUUUUUCUCUUGGCCAGAACUCAGUAAUUCUUACCUAAUUAAGAAAUUAAGUGUAAAAUUCUUUAAUAGGAGCUAUUUCCUUAUAAAUUGUCUCCUUUAAUGUGUUUAUAGUUUCUUAUAUCAAAAAGUACAACUGCAGAAGGAAAUAAAAUAUCUAAGCAAACCCAG
rnacentral:lncRNA from 1 species